rnacentral:rRNA from 1 species
AACCUGCUGAAGGAUCAUUA